rnacentral:rRNA from 1 species
CCUACGGGGGGCUGUAGUGGGGAAUAUUGGACAAUGGGGGGAACCCUGAUCCAGCCAUGCCGCGUGUGUGAAGAAGGCCCUCGGGUUGUAAAGCACUUUCAGUGAGGAAGAACGCCUGGUGGUUAAUACCCAUCAGGAAAGACAUCACUCACAGAAGAAGCACCGGCUAACUCCGUGCCAGCAGCCGCGGUAAUACGGAGGGUGCGAGCGUUAAUCGGAAUUACUGGGCGUAAAGCGCGCGUAGGUGGCUUGAUAAGCCGGUUGUGAAAGCCCCGGGCUCAACCUGGGAACGGCAUCCGGAACUGUCAAGCUAGAGUGCAGGAGAGGAAGGUAGAAUUCCCGGUGUAGCGGUGAAAUGCGUAGAGAUCGGGAGGAAUACCAGUGGCGAAGGCGGCCUUCUGGACUGACACUGACACUGAGGUGCGAAAGCGUGGGUAGCAAACAGGAUUAGAUACCCCGGUAGUU